rnacentral:lncRNA from 1 species
UCCUACUCCAAAUCUGAUCAGAUAUAAAUUUAAUCUAAAUCUCUUUUUUCAAAAUUAUAAUUAUUUUAGAAUGUUUGCAUGAUUCAUUCUUUAUCCAACUUGAUCUCAUCCGAUCUUAUCCGUCUUAUUUAUCCGGCUUGAUCCGACCCAUGCCAUCUAUUUUAUUCGAUCCGAUCCAUCUUCAUGCGGGUACAUGAUGGAUAUAGAUAUAGAGUUUUUAAUUAUGAAAUGAGUACAUAUAUUAGCUGAUCUGAUCUAUUGCCAUUCCUAUUAGUAAUCUACACUGCCACUUUCUGC